rnacentral:rRNA from 1 species
CGUAGGGGCAAGCGUUAUCCGGAUUCAUUGGGCGUAAAGCGCGCGUAGGCGGCCAGCCUGGUCGGGAGUCAAAUCCGGGGGCUCAACCCCCGUCCGCUCCCGAUACCGGCCGGCUUGAGUCUGGCAGGGGGAAGGCGGAAUUCCCGGUGUAGCGGUGGAAUGCGCAGAUAUCGGGAAGAACACCGGUGGCGAAGGCGGCCUUCUGGGCCACGACUGACGCUGAGGCGCGAAGCUAGGGGAGCGAACAGGAUU